rnacentral:rRNA from 1 species
UACAGAGGGUGCGAGCGUUGUCCGGAAUCACUGGGCGUAAAGGGCGCGUAGGCGGCCCUCCUUGUCGCGUGUGAAAGCCCCGGGCUCAACCUGGGAACGGCGCGCGAGACGGGGGGGCUGGAGUUCGGGAGAGGAGCGUGGAAUUCCCAGUGUAGAGGUGAAAUUCGUAGAUAUUGGGAAGAACACCGGUGGCGAAGGCGGCGCUCUGGACCGAGACUGACGCUGAGGCGCGAAAGCGUGGGGAGCAAACAGG